rnacentral:misc_RNA from 1 species
GAUGAAGAACGCAGCGAAAUGCGAUACGUAAUGUGAAUUGCAGAAUUCAGUGAAUCAUCGAGUCUUUGAACGCACAUUGCGCCCCCUGGUAUUCCGGGGUGCAUGCCUGUCCGAGCGUCAUUGCUGCCCUCAAGCACGGCUUGUGUGUUGGGCCUCCGUCCUCCUCCCGGGGGACGGGCCCGAAAGGCAGCGGCGGCACCGCGUCCGGUCCUCGAGCGUAUGGGGCUUCGUCACCCGCUCUUGUAGGCCCGGCCGGCGCUUGCCGACACAUCAAUCUUUUUUCCAGGUUGACCUCGGAUCAGGUAGGGAUACCCGCUGAACUUAAGCAUAUCAAUAAGCGGAGGA